CUGCUCCUUAAUGGCCAGUCUUCCCUAACCUUAUAAUUUCAGCCUUGCAAUAGAUUUCACCUCCUGGCAUGAAAAUUCCAAGAAUUUUUACAGUUAUUCGUAAGUGGAUCUUGAAAUGUCUUUUUCACCGUGGACAGUUUGAAUUCUAAACCUCUAGUUCAGUGUAUCAUACUGAUGGGUUGUUAUUUUUCACAAGGUGCUACAUUCUAAGAAUAGAUGGACCAAAUUUUUAAAAGCUGUUUUCUUCCCUCGUUUAUUUUUUAUUCUCUUAUGUAUUAUAUUUGUGUUUUAUUAUAUGCACAUUAUGGAGUAUUUAGGAAUAACUGCUGGUUCUUCUAAUUUAUUUGCCCACCUGUUAUUCUUAUAUCCUGGCCACUGUUCUCUGAUUUGUAGCUGUGGCUUUCUUUGGGCAUAGCUUGCCUGACCUGACUAGUUACUUUUUAUAUUUAUCCAUUUGCUUAGCAUAGUUCUGGAGUUUCCUGUUGCAGAGCUCCUUGCUGUAUUGGCAGUUACAUAUAAGGGAAAGUUAGUCUCUUAUCCAAUUAAAAACCUGUCUUUGAUUUUUUCCCCUUCUAGAUGUUCAAAAAACAAUAGCCCUCUACUCACUGAUAUUACCUGUGAAAUCUUUCAUAUGUGACACUGACUUUAAGAACAAAAUUAUCUCAGUUUCCAAGUACUGCCAGGUAAUUUUUGUGUUCCAGUUUAGACUUCAAAGUACAAAUCAGAGAUCUGACCUGGACCAGCCACAGCUCUCCGUAUAACUUUAUGGCCACCAAACACGAGAAAACCAGGCUGCUUAGAGGCCUGGAACUGAAAGUUGCUCUUACUAUGAACUAUUAGAAAGUAAAAGAUUUAAGUGAGGCGUACUGGAGAACUAAGUUCCAGGAUGGUCAAGAUCCUUGUUCCUUUACCUCUGUUUAGGUUUUAAAUCCCCAUUCCCCAGUUUUCUCAUAACCUUUUAUGAGUUACUUCUGCUGAGGAAAGCAUAUUUCAGAACAAAUCAGGGCAGGAUCGUUAUUUUCUGAUACUAUGUCAGGCCUACACCUGGCUUUACUCAAGUCUCUCAGGAAUAAGAGAUAAUAUGGAAUAUUAUGCAGCAGUAGAUACCUGAGGUGCAAGAUUAACAUACAGAUUCUCUGGCUAAACUCUACUCAAUUAAAAUGUCUGAGCCAGGUCCUGGGAAUAUGUAUUUUUAAAAUAAAUUCCUCAGGUGGUUCUGAUGCAGCUAACCUGGGCCAAUAUUUGAGGACAACUGAAUAGACCUUAUAUUAAAGAUCAACCCAAAUAGUAGACAACAUCAAAAUCACUAGUGAAUGACUAAGUUAUUUUUUAUUUGCCAUUAAGUAUAAAGCACCUACAUGACUUAAAGUGCCUUUCACCCAGAAAAUUAGUAUGAGGACUGUUUGGUCAAAGAACAUUCCUACAUUUUAGACAGAGUAUUUCGUUUUUAUAGAAAAUUAAGGCAAAACAAGAAACUUGGGGUUUCCAAACUUUUGUUUAUUUCACUCCAUUUAUUUAUUCAGUGAAAAUUGAAAGAUAUACCAAAGUAAAGAUAAAAUCCUAUGACAAAGGUAACUGUGUGAUAACAUGAAUAUUCAUUUACAGUUGGUAGAUAAAAGAGCAAAGCUAGCUAUAGAAUGAAAGUCUUCUUGAGAGGGUUUGGGAAGGGGUAGGUAAGGGGAAUGAUUGAGGAGUCAAAUAUAAUAUAAAAUCUUUGUAUGCCCAGUGGUAUAUGUUCUCCCUUCCUGAAAUCUAGUGGGAAUCAACAUGGUAGUAGAAAUAAUCAAAUAUUAGUAAACAUACUUCUGGGGUACACCAUCUCAGUGUGUUAGCGUUCACUAAGCUGUGAGAUCUUUGACAGCUGGCAUAUUAAGUUCUGUACAACCUGGUUUAUCCUGUCUUCUUACCCUCUACCCCCACCCCCCAGCCAUAUUCCUUUGGGUUAUCCAAACAUUUUUACCGAGAGGCUUGUUUAUAUGUAAGAGAAAAUCCCAGUAGACAUAACAAAUCGUAAGAAAUUACCUGUUUUUUCUUGCUUAUGUAAGAUGAAGGUCCUCAGCCUCUUAUGAGGUUGGAGAGUUGCUUGAUGUGCUGGGUUCUGGUCUUUUCCCUGCUUCCAGCUAGCUAUGAAGUCUUUCAGUCUUAUAUCCCUCAUCUAAAGACAGACUAAAUUAUUUCUUCUAGCUGUGAUAUUCUAUGAUUCUGAUCAAAUAGAAAUAACACAUUUAAAAGUGUUUUGUAAAUACUCUUUAUGAUACUCAAGAUUGUACUCCACUGCAAAAAAGGUAACCUAAGACAAUACCAACAAAUGUAUUCAUUGUAGCUGGUUGUCUUUUCUCAGCAUCACUUUUCCCAUAUUCAUUUCGAAAACCUGAAGUGAAGUUCAACUACAAAUUACCCUAUAUUUUGCGAAGCAGGGUGAAAAGGUCUUUGUUUUGCAUUUAAAUCCAGUUCUUUAUUUUCUAUUCAAACUGGUGCUUACUUUUCCAUGACCAAAGGAAAGAAAAGUUCCUGCAGUCUGCAGUAUAUCUGUUUGACCUCACAGAGAUGUCUUCAUGCGUUUACCUAGCAGGAUCACCAGAGGCUCUGGCACACUUGCAGUCCCUGGCCCAACACUGAAGUCCUGCUGGAAUCUGUGCUCCGGGGGCUGUGCCGGGUAGAGAGGGAAGUGGGAGGUAAGAGCUCUUCACCCUUCACCACCUUCUCCACCCAGCAUGGCCGGCACACUUUGGUCUACGGCACAUCUCCAAGUAUAGAGUGGUUUUUGAAUGCUGUUAUUUUUCACCUUGGGGAUGGGGCCACCCAGAUUUGGACUAUUUGGGGUACGUGAUUUUUUUUUAUCAGAGUAAGAACUGUUACAAGUAAAUGUGUCUUUUAUAGUUAUACUGAAUUUUUAGACUGAAUUUUUGUGCUGCUUUUAUUCCUCCUUUAAUUGACAGAAACAUAAAAGCACAUUUCCAAUUAUAUUUUUUCCAUUUUUUAUUGUGUUAAAAUAUACAUAACAUAAAAUUUGCCAUUUUAAUUAUUUUUAAGUGUAUAGUUCAGUAGUACUAAGUACAUUCACAUCAUUAUACAUCACCACCAUUCAUCUCCAGAACUUCUCUCAUCUUCCCAAACUGAAACCAUACCUAUUAAAUAAUAAUUCCCCAUUUCCAUUCUACUUUCUGUCUUUAUAAAUUUGACUACUUUAGGUACUUCAUAUAAGUGGAAUCAUACUGUAUUUGUCCUUUUGAGUCAAUCAUAUUUUUAUAAGAAAACAAAAGCAACUGUCAUCAGAUUUAUAUGAAAUGGAACUUAAUUUACAUUUGGCUUACUUUCAUCAAUGUCUAAUCAUGCAAUGCAAGGGAAGUGUGUUACAGUCUCUGCCCUCUAAGAACAGAAAAUUAUACCUUAAACAAAGCUAUUUAUACUUUUACUGUUUUAUGCUGAUUUCACAUUCCAUUUUGAGACCAAUUUGUAUUUAGUGUGGAGAUGAUUUUGUUAAAUAUCUAUGAUUUAGAGAUGGCAUAAUUUAAAAAUGACCAAGGAUUUGUUUGGGAAGGAGCUUAGGAGAAUGAAAAAAUUGACUUUGAUGUUAUAGUGUAUGGUGGGCUGUUGGUAUUACGGUGCAUAUAGAAAGACCACUGGCUUUCGAUUCAGAAGACCUGUUUUGGAGUUCUAGUUCUGCUACUUCCUAGCAGUGUGAUCUUGAUGAAGACUCUCCACCUCCCUUGGCCUCAGUUACUUAUCUGUAAAUUGCUAGUGGACCUGGAAUAUUUUAAGUUUCUUCUAGCUUCAUCGUUUUAAGAACUAAGAUUGCAGUAUGUAAAAAUAGGGUUGAGUAUUAGUUUCUGACCUAUCUUGUUAUGAAAAAACAAUUUCUGAUGAUAUAAAAUUCAACAAUAUAGUGUAAAUUUAAAAUGAAGCAAAAGAAGACAGAUAUAGACAGCAGAGUGAGUAUAUGGCAUAAUUUUGGUUUUAAGCUUUCUAACAGCUGUUUUAUGCAAAGAGAACUUUUCAUCCACACAAUCAAAAUGUCCAUGAGAUAAAAAUAAGCCAGUUGGGUAGGAGAAGUACCAGUGGAGUUGUCUCUAAUAGUAUGAGGUUUGGGAACCAUCUCUGGGCCUGACAAACAGUAAAGCUGCGGUAAGGAUUAAUGCCUUUUUUUUGAAGCUUAUCCAGAACAUUUGAAGUCCUCUUACCUUUACUCAGAGAACAUCCCAGUGUUGGCUAAGAGCUUCAGGAAAUUGUUUUGACUUUGUUCUGAGGAACAAGAGAAUGGAUGACCAAGGCCCGCUGUUUUUUAUUCUGUGUAGACUCACCAGAAGAGUUUUAGCUUACAAAAUAUUGUAAGAUGAAUAACCACAUCCUAACUUCAGUAAAGCAGCUGUAGAAGUGUUGCUUCUAAGUACUGCUACUUCCCCAUCCAGCCUCAAAGGUAACCUUUUUGCAAAGUGCAUAUAGGGUGGCUUGUGUGAAUUUGUUUAUAAACCAGUUAAAAGUUGGGAUGUCUACCAGAGCAAAAGAAAACUAAAAUACAGCCGUGUUUUAUUCUGCUAGAGAUUGUUCUACCAGAAGACCUGUCCCACUGGCUUUGUUUUCAUGCUAGUACUGUAGGGCAGGUUCUAUAUGAACAUUAAUAACCGAGGAGUCUGGGUUGGGCUUUUACAGUUUGGCCCAUAGCCAAUUCCUGCCUAGAGUCAAAGAUCAAGGAAAAGUGAAUAAAAGAAGCAAAUAAUCUGGCAUGAUUUGGGGGUAGGUGGGGCUACCCUACUUGAAGGUAGAAUAAAUGGGAAAAGUUACAUCUGGGCCCUGAAUAGAUAAGAUCAUAGCUAUAGCAAAGAUUCUUAACCUGGGUCUUCAGAACUCCAAAGGUAAAACUGGGUUCAGUAUGUUGGUUUCCUUUGUAAUUCUCUGAGUUUUAUUUUAUGCAUUUUUAAAUACUCUGAGAAGAGGUCCAUAGGUUUCAUCAGACUGCCAGAGGGAUCUAUGAUACC
rnacentral:lncRNA from 1 species